GGCGCGUUUUCGACUACAGCGUACAUUUGUUUCCGUUUUCCCGUUUUCCAUAAAAAAUUGCAAGAUAUCUUUUCAUGCAGCAAGUGCCUGUUUGCGGUCGGAAUUAUCAACAUAGCGGGCCACUUUGAGGCGAGAUAAUGUCACUCUAUUCUCAAGGAACUAGGUAAGCUUUUAACAAAGCCCUUAGCAGUCCGUUAUCUUUUUUUCUCGCGAUCAGAAGCGUCUAAACUAACGUAAUGUUUCGCGUAUUUUUCGUCUUGGUUGUAGCUCACCUGCCAACACUUGGCAAACUGCGGGGCCUCCAGGAAGGUAUGUUGAAACAACCCACUCCUUAUUUAUUUUGCCGAGCUUUUAUUGUUAUGAUUAU
rnacentral:lncRNA from 1 species